rnacentral:rRNA from 1 species
UGCCAGCCGCCGCGGUAAUACGGAGGGUGCAAGCGUUAAUCGGAAUCACUGGGCGUAAAGCGCGCGUAGGCGGUUGUGUAAGUCGGAUGUGAAAGCCCAGGGCUUAACCUUGGAACUGCAUUCGAUACUGCAUGACUAGAGUGUGGUAGAGGGAAGUGGAAUUUCCGGUGUAGCGGUGAAAUGCGUAGAUAUCGGAAGGAACAUCAGUGGCGAAGGCGGCUUCCUGGACCAACACUGACGCUGAGGUGCGAAAGCGUGGGUAGCAAACAGGAUUAGAUA